rnacentral:lncRNA from 10 species
ACAUAUACAUUAUGAGACACUAUGUGCCUACUCUUAAGGUAAUUACUUUCACCAUUAAAAACCAUUAUUUAUAAUCUUCUAGGUAGGGCAUAUUGAAAGUUGGAGAUUUAUGGAUAUGAUUGAUAGAGUGGGGUGGAAAGUCAGAAAGCAGAAAAACACUAAGGUUGUUUAAAUGUUUAGGAUCUCAGUAUUUCUGAAAUACUUUUUAUAGAGAUGAGAUCCAGAGAGGAUAAAUGACAG